rnacentral:rRNA from 1 species
AUUGAACGCUGGCGGCAUGCCUUACACAUGCAAGUCGAGCGGCAGCGCGGGGGCAACCCUGGCGGCGAGCGGCGAACGGGUGAGUAAUACAUCGGAACGUGUCCUGUCGUGGGGGAUAACCAGUCGAAAGACUGGCUAAUACCGCAUGAGAUCGAAAGAUGAAAGCGGGGGACCGCAAGGCCUCGCGCGAUUGGAGCGGCCGAUGUCGGAUUAGCUAGUUGGCGGGGUAAAAGCCCACCAAGGCGACGAUCCGUAGCUGGUUUGAGAGAA